ensembl:lincRNA Lncpint long non-protein coding RNA, Trp53 induced transcript
GCAGCAGCCUGGCGUGACAAGUGGGCGACGCCAGGGACAGAGAGUGGGGGUCCUCCGCCCGCUCCGGGGACCCUGUCGCCCACCGUGGUGCGCUGAGCAACUUUUAGCCGGCAGCCCCGCACCUGUCUCAGAGUCCCCAUCGCUCCCCACCAACCAUCAUGGGAAAAUUCUAGAAGAAUACGCUCUCGGAAUCUACGUGCGCAUCAUUUUCCUCCUCACUCCAGAGGAAGGAACCAGAAAAGAGAGCAAAGCGGUGUAGUGUUCAGCCUCAAGGCAUCUCGUUGAUUCCUAGCGUUAGAAGAACUGAGCUAACAGGAGUCUGCCACCUCUCUGCCUUGCUGAUGCACCCAGGCAGGGCUCACUGGUUUGCAGGAGUACAUGACCACAGAUCAGAGCCAUUGCAGGCUGCACAGAUACCUGACUCUGGGCUCUCAGGAAGACUCAGGCAGAGAUGGGGAGUCGGCCUGCAAGCUGGGACGCUAGAGCUCACGUGCAGUUCUCCAUUUAGCUAGGAGG